rnacentral:rRNA from 1 species
UACGUAGGGUGCAAGCGUUGUCCGGAAUUAUUGGGCGUAAAGAGCUCGUAGGCGGCUUGUCGCGUCGGCUGUGAAAACCUGGGGCUCAACCCCGGGCCUGCAGCCGAUACGGGCAAGCUAGAAUUCGGUAGGGGAGACUGGAAUUCCUGGUGUAGCGGUGAAAUGCGCAGAUAUCGUUUGGAACGCCAAUGGUGAAAACAGGUCGCUGGGAGUGUGCUGACGCUGAGACACGAAAGCCAGGGGAGCGAACGGG